GCUGGUGUAGCUCAGUUGGCAGAGCAACUGACUUGUAAUCAGUAGGUCAGGGGUUCAAGUCCCCUCACCAGCU
rnacentral:tRNA from 1 species